UGCAAGUCGAACGGCAGCACGGGAAGGGGCAACCCUUCCUGGUGGCGAGUGGCGAACGGGUGAGUAAUGCAUCGGAACGUGUCCUCUUGUGGGGGAUAACCAGUCGAAAGACUGGCUAAUACCGCAUGAGCCCGAGAGGGGAAAGCGGGGAAUUCGAAAGAACCUCGCGCGAGUGGAGCGGCCGAUGGCCGAUUAGCUAGUUGGUGGGGUAAUAGCCCACCAAGGCGACGAUCGGUAGCUGGUCUGAGAGGAUGAUCAGCCACACUGGGACUGAGNNNCGGCCCAGACUCCUACGGGAGGCAGCAGUGGGGAAUUUUGGACAAUGGGCGCAAGCCUGAUCCAGCCAUGCCGCGUGUGUGAAGAAGGCCUUCGGGUUGUAAAGCACUUUCGGACGGAACGAAAUCGCACGGGCGAAUACCCCGUGUGGAUGACGGUACCGUAAGAAGAAGCACCGGCUAACUACGUGCCAGCAGCCGCGGUAAUACGUAGGGUGCGAGCGUUAAUCGGAAUUACUGGGCGUAAAGCGUGCGCAGGCGGUCGCGCAAGUCAGGUGUGAAAGCCCCGAGCUUAACUUGGGAAUUGCAUUUGAAACUACGUGACUGGAGUGUGGCAGAGGGAGGUGGAAUUCCACGUGUAGCGGUGAAAUGCGUAGAGAUGUGGAGGAACACCGAUGGCGAAGGCAGCCUCCUGGGCCAACACUGACGCUCAUGCACGAAAGCGUGGGGAGCAAACAGGAUUAGAUACCCUGGUAGUCCACGCCCUAAACGAUGUCUACUAGUUGUUGGGGGAGUUAAAUCCCUUAGUAACGUAGCUAACGCGUGAAGUAGACCGCCUGGGG
rnacentral:rRNA from 1 species